GCAGCAUCGCGGUGGCGGAGCGUCGUUUGCGACGCCCAACACACAAAACAAGCGGUGAAUGCUUUGGGGUGGGGUGACUGCGUACCUUUUGUAUAAUGGGUCAGCGACUUAUAUUCUGUAGCAAGGUUAACCGAAUAGGGGAGCCGGAGGGAAACCGAGUCUUAAUUGGGCGUUAAGUUGCAGGGUAUAGACCCGAAACCCGGUGAUCUAGCCAUGGGCAGGUUGAAGGUUGGGUAACACUAACUGGAGGACCGAACCGACUAAUGUUGAAAAAUUAGCGGAUGACCUGUGGCUGGGGGUGAAAGGCCAAUCAAACCGGGAGAUAGCUGGUUCUCCCCGAAAGCUAUUUAGGUAGCGCCUCGUGAAUUCAUCUCCGGGGGUAGAGCACUGUUUCGGCUAGGGGGCCAUCCCGGCUUACCAACCCGAUGCAAACUGCGAAUACCGGAGAAUGUUAUCACGGGAGACACACGGCGGGUGCUAACGUCCGUCGUGAAGAGGGAAACAACCCAGACCGCCAGCUAAGGUCCCAAAGUCAUGGUUAAGUGGGAAACGAUGUGGGAAGGCCCAGACAGCCAGGAUGUUGGCUUAGAAGCAGCCAUCAUUUAAAGAAAGCGUAAUAGCUCACUGGUCGAGUCGGCCUGCGCGGAAGAUGUAACGGGGCUAAACCAU
rnacentral:rRNA from 2 species